rnacentral:tRNA from 1 species
GGCUGUAGCUCAGUGGUAGAGCACUUGUCUAGCACAUAUGUGGCACUGGGUUUGAAUCCUAGCACCA